rfam:Gavia stellata contig3544, whole genome shotgun sequence.
ACAUCUUCUCGGCCUUUUGGCUAAGUUCAAGUGUAGUAUCUGUUCUUAUCAGUGUAAUAUCUGAUAUGUCCUCGAUAUGAGGACUUUAUAUUAAACGGAUUUUUGGGGCUGGGAGUUGGACAUGGAGCUUGCUUCUGCUCCAUGGAUCGUCUUGGUAUUGCAGUGGCGCCGGGAAUGGUGCACAAAUU